rnacentral:rRNA from 1 species
GACGAACGCUGGCGGCGCGCCUAACACAUGCAAGUCGAACGGAGUCAAGAGGAGCUUGCUUUUCUUGACUUAGUGGCGAACGGGUGAGUAACGCGUGAGUAACCUGCCCUGGAGUGGGGGACAACAGUUGGAAACGACUGCUAAUACCGCAUAAGCCCACGGAUCUGCAUGGAUCUGCGGGAAAAGGAUUUAUUCGCUCUAGGAUGGACUCGCGUCCAAUUAGCUAGUUGGUGAGGUAACGGGCCACCAAGGCGACGAUUGGUAGCCGGACUGAGAGGUUGAACAGCCACAUUGGGACUGAGACACGGCCCAGACUCCUACGGGAGGCAGCAGUGGGGGAUAUUGCACAAUGGGGGAAACCCUGAUGCAGCGACGCCGCGUGGAGGAAGAAGGUUUUCGGAUUGUAAACUCCUGUCGUUAGGGACGAUAAUGACGGUACCUAACAAGAAAGCACCGGCUAACUACGUG